rnacentral:rRNA from 1 species
AGUGAACGCUGGCGGCGUGCCUAAUACAUGCAAGUCGAACGAAGUGGCGCACGGGUGAGUAAUAUAUAGUUAAACAGCCCUACACAGAAGAAAAACAGUUGGAAACGACUGCUAAUACCGCAUAGUGUAGGAUGAGACUAUAUCGUAUCAGCUAGUUGGUAAGGUAAUGGCUUACCAAGGCUAUGACGCGUAACUGGUCUGAGAGGAUGAUCAGUAAAAUUGGAACUGAGACACGGUCCAAACACCUACGGGAGGCAGCAGUAAGGGAUAUUGCGCAAUGGGGGAAAGCCAGAAGCAGCAACGCCGCGUGGAUGAGUACACUUAUAGGAGCGUAAACUCGUUUUAUCAGGAAAGCGGUACCUGAUGAAUAAGCACCGGCUAACUCCGUGCCAGCAGCCGCGGUAAUUC